rnacentral:rRNA from 1 species
CCUACGGGGCGCAGCAGUAGGGAAUCUUUCACAAUGGGCGAAAGCCUGAUGGAGCAACGCCGCGUGCAGGAUGAAGGCCUUCGGGUUGUAAACUGCUUUUAUAAGCGAGAAAUAUGAUGGUAACUUAUGAAUAAGGAUCGGCUAACUACGUGCCAGCAGCCGCGGUCAUACGUAGGAUCCGAGCAUUAUCCGGAGUGACUGGGUGUAAAGAGUUGCGUAGGUGGCAUAAUAAGUAGCUAGUGAAAUCUGGUGGCUCAACCAUUCAGACUAUUAGCUAAACUGUUAAGCUCGAGACCGUUAGGGGUAACUGGAAUUUCUAGUGUAGGAGUGAAAUCCGUAGAUAUUAGAAGGAACACCAAUAGCGUAGGCAGGUUGCUGGGACGGGUCUGACACUAAGGCACGAAAGCGUAGGGAGCAAACGGGAUUAGAUACCCGAGUAGUC